CGGUGAAUACGUUCCCGGACCUUGCACACACCCGCCCCGUCAAGCCAUGGAAGCUGGGUGUACCUAAAGUCGGUAACCGUAAGGAGCCGCCUAGGGUAAAACUAGUGACUGGGGCU
rnacentral:rRNA from 1 species